UUAAGCAUAUCAGUAAGCAGAGGAAAAGAAAACAACUGUGAUUCCCUUAGUAACUGCGAGUGAAGCGGGAAAAGCCCAUCGUUUAAUCUUCUCGGACCAUGGACGAGACGAAAUGUAACGGUACGGAUAGGUUCUCUACUAGUUUGAUCUAACCAAAGUCCUCCGGAUUGAGGUGCCAGAGAAGGUGACAGCCCUGUGUGUGGUCGGAUCAAACUAGGUAUGUGACCAAUUCUGAGAGUCGGGUUGUUUGGGACUGCAACCUAAAGUAGGUGGUAAACUCCACCCAAGGCUAAAUAUUGACACGAAACCGAUAGCGAACAAGUACUGUGAAGGAAAGUUGAAAAGAACUCUGAAAAGAGAGUUAAAAGUACGUGAAACCGCUAACGGGGAAGCGGAAGGCAGUGUCGAGAUUGAGUAAGUGAGUCGUUUCAAGUAUGCAUGUCUAAUCGCAUGUAUAUUUGUAGCGGCUAGCUUUGCUUGAUGCGUCAGGACUAUUGGCGUGCGAUGGUCAGUAUUAGUAUGGCAUUUACAACAUUUGAGACUUGUUUUGAGUGUGUAGGUGCGACUAAUUACCCACCUCGUGUACUGAUAGGAAUGUAAUGAAGCGUUAAUGAUGUAGUGUCGGUUGGUGCGGCGUGGCGGUUCGUUCUGGUCACAUUGUGGCUACGUGCGGAGAAGUCAUGUCGUAGUUCAAUAAUUAAUGCUAGCUUCUGACGUGAUACCUAACCUUCCGACCCGUCUUGAAACACGGACCAAGGAGGCAGAAUCUAGAGCGAGUUGGAGGGUGGAAAACCCGACGGCACAGUGAAAGCGAGAGAUGAGAUCUCGGGACCUCGGUUCCGUGAGCAUCAUCGGCCAGUCUUUAUUUGAGGACUGAGUUGGAGCUCUAGAUGCUGGACCCGAAAGAUGGUGAACUAUGCGUGAGCAGGGCGAAGUCAGGGGAAACUCUGAUGGAGGCUCGAAGCGAUUCUGACGUGCAAAUCGAUCGUUUGACUUGCGUAUAGGGGCGAUAGACUAAUCGAACCAUCUAGUAGCUGGUUCCCUUCGAAAUAUCCCUCAGGAUCGCUGAGACAAGUGGGAGACAGUUUCAUCGGGUAGAGCGAAUGAUUAGAGGAAUCGGGGAUAUAUUACUCUCGACCUAUUCUCAAACUUCCAACCGGUGAGAGUGCAGUUUACUUGGUUGAAACGGCACGUGGAAUGUCUUUGUCUCAAGUGGGCCAUUUUUGGUAAGCAGAACUGGCGAUGCGGGAUGAACCGAGAGUUGAGCUAAGGUGCCUAAGAACACGUUGAUAGAUACCACAAAAGGAGUCGGUCGAUAAAGACAGCAGGGCGGUGGCCCUGAAAGUAGGAAUCCGCUAAGGAAUUGUCUAAAAACUCACCUGCCGAAUCGACCGGCCCUGAAAAUGGAUGGCGCUGAAGCGUGUCACCGAUGCUUGACCUUUACCACGAGAGAUGUUGGUAGAGGGUAGAAGGGCGCGGCGGUAGCAGUAAAGUACAAAGUGUAAACUUGUAUGGAGCUGCCGUCGGUGUAGAUCUUGGUGGUAGUAGCAAUUAUAAAAGUGAAAACCUUUUAGGCCGAAGUGGAGAAGGGUUCCACGUGAACAGCAGUUGGACGUGGGUUAGUCGGUCCUAAGCGGUUGCCUAACGGUUUUUCCAAUGUCAACUUUAUGCUUGCAUCAAGUUGAAUUCCGCGAAAGGGAAUCAGGUUAAUAUUCCUGAACCGGGCUAUGGAGACGCUGCUAUUGGCAUUUGUUUUGGUAGCAAUAUUGAGGCAAAUGACAAUUGUAGCUUAGCGGUAACGCAAGCAAUCUCGGAGACGUUGACAUCUAUGGCGGGGAGAAUUAUCUUUUCUGCAUAACAAGUGAACUACCUUGGAAUCGAGUCAUUCGGAGAUAAGGUAAAAAGCUUGGAAGAGCACUGCAACUAUUGCAGUGUCCGCAUUGUAGGUGUCGGCCCUUGAAAAUCCGAGGGAGUGGAUAAAUUU
rnacentral:rRNA from 1 species